GAUAAACGCUGGCGGUGUGCUUUAUGCAUGCAAGUCGAACGAUUUCGAUUUAUCGGAAUAGUGGCAAACGGGUGAGUAACACGUAAGUAACCUGCCCCUAAGUAAAGGAUAACUCUGAGAAAUUAGAGCUAAUACUGUAUGUGGUGGUGGGGGUAAUGCUUCAUCACUAAAGCCUUAGGGCGCUUAGGGAGGGGCUUGUGCCCGAUUAGCUAGUUGGUAGGGUAAUGGUUUACCAAGGCGAUGAUCGGUAGCUGGUUUGAGAGGACAUCCAGCCACACUGGGAUUGAGAUACGGCCCAGACUCCUACGGGAGGCAGCAGCAAGGAAUUUUGUGCAAUGGGCGAAAGCCUGACACAGCGACGCCGCGUGGGGGAUGAAGGCCUUCGGGUUGUAAACCCCUUUUCUCAGGGAAGAAUAAUGACGGUACCUGGGGAAUAAGUCUUGGCUAACUACGUGCCAGCAGCCGCGGUAAUACGUAGGAGGCGAGCGUUAUCCGGAUUUACUGGGCGUAAAGAGGGCGUAGGCAGUUUUUCAAGUCGAUUGUAAAAUCUCCCGGCUUAACUGGGAGGAGCCAGUCGAUACUGUUAGACUAGAGAGCAGCAGGGGGAGGUGGAAUUCCCGGUGUAGUGGUGAAAUGUGUAGAUAUCGGGAGGAACACCAGUGGCGAAGGCGGCCUCCUAGGCUGUUUCUGACGCUGAGGUCCGAAAGCGUGGGGAGCAAACAGGAUCAGAUACCCUGGUAGUCCACGCUGUAAACAAUGGACACUAGGUAUAGGGAGUAUCGACCCUCUCUGUGCCGAAGCUAACGCAUUAAGUGUCCCGCCUGGGGAGUACGGCCGCAAGGCUA
rnacentral:rRNA from 1 species